rnacentral:lncRNA from 7 species
UUGAAUGACUGAACCUCUGUCCAGUGAAGCCUACUGAAUCUUUGUGGACUCCAGAUAAGCAGAAAGAAAAAAUUCUUGCAACAUGUGAACCUAAGACCAAAUCUAAGAAGGUGAAGUAAAGCUGCAAGGUCUCCUCAUUGCAGACCACUAGACACGUUUCUCCUCAAGCAAAUGGACAAAGAAGAUGGUAGAUGAAAGGAGCCUCAACUCCAUUCUGAAACACACUGGCUAGCAAAGCUGAGUCAAUUACUAGGAGUGUUGUAAUAUUCAGUUGGUGCUAUUCAGAACAGGAAUGAAACUUCAAGAUUAAGGCAAAAGAAGCACAUGGACCACCACUAGUACAAUGUAUGCAAUACCCAGAGUCAAAGACUACACCUCAAGCCAUGAGGGAACUGCUGAGCACUGAGUUUACGUCAUUGAGCUGUCCUAAAUGACAGUAGAUCUGUUUAUAGUGACAAAAGUUUUAGCAAUUAAUUUUGACUUAUCUCUUUGUUCCAUUUAAUUUAUUUCUAUUUUAUGUCUGAAUUCUAUUUUUACAGGAAACUGAACAUGAACCUUUCUUAAAAGCAGGUGGUUUCUUGAAUAGGCCUUCUCAUUUUUAAGUAUUGGGAAAGAAAUAAGACUUCCGUGGUCUCCAGACAAAUGAGACUUAGAGGUUGUAAGUCUUUGACUUUCAAGCUGACCUUUCGUUACUGCUGAGUUGCUGUCAGCCAUGCAAGGCUUGACAGAGCCAAAGCAGGAUUAGAUUUCAGAGACUUUAACCGCCAUACUCAGUGGACCAAACUCUUUAGUGCUUGACCUGAAGAGUAAUUCUAGCUUGCCACAACAUAUGGCUAUACGUAGGUCCUAAAAUCAAGUUCAUUAAAACAUUUAAAUAAACAUGACAGAAAGGAGGAAAAAGUGGAAAUAAAUGAGCAGCUCUAACAGAAGCUGGAUUUGGCAGCUAUGUCCACUUCAAAAAGUGAUUACAUGGAUGUUUCCGUCUUUUAAAAGGGUCUUUAGUAUAAAACAGUCAAACACCAAAAGAACAAAUUAAAGAGAAGGAAAUUAAUUAAAAAUUGGAAAACUUUAAUGACUUUUGAUGUGAUUAAAGUGGACAUGUUUUGUAGAGAUUUCACCUGUUCUUUAAUUUCCUAUUCUAUCUGGCUGUGAUCUGUCCCUGCAUUGUUCUGCAGUGCAAGAUCUCGAAUCCAAGCAUGCUGUGCAACUCUCCUUUGAAAAAGACUGAAAUUAUAUGUAAUUAAUGCAACUGAUGUUUAACAUGUUUGAAGGGUCAGGAAGAAGAAAUCAGAACUCUUUCGUCUAUAAAGUCCAGGAAAUGAGACUUCAUCCACCAGCUGCAGGUGUGAUUUCAGCCCUUCAUGUUCUCAUUCUCCAGUCCUUACUGAAGCAAGCUAUCUCUUCCAAAACAGUUUAAGGUAAUAGCUGAAUAAAGCAUAACCUUCCCAGGAAAUUUCAGGACUUUAUUAUCUGCUCAUAGACAAAAGCCAGAAAUACAAAGACAGAUAAUGAUAGUAAUAAUAAUAAUAAUAAUAAUAAACCAGCAGGCAAAGAAUAAAAACAAAUCUCUUUUUUAUUAAAGCCUCUCAGGGAAGGAGAUAGACCCAAGUGAAAAUCUGAAUUUUCCCCUAAUCGCUAAGAAAUUUUUGUAUAGCUCAGGAAGAUUUCAUGUGUAAGAAAUGAAGUCUAGGUUUCAAAUCUAAAUUCCUUAUUUUGGACGUGCAUCUAGUUGGAAGUUUACACUUGGUUGUUCCUUGGAUUAAAAUAUAGUUCAGUUAUAUUGAG